rnacentral:snoRNA from 1 species
AACCCAUGGUGAGGGCACUCUCUUUGAUACUCCUUGUACCUUUCCCAAGCUUCGCAGAAAGAUUCACCAGGCUGUUGUUGGAACGAUGAGAGCUUGUUCCCCAGAGAUGCGGUU